rnacentral:lncRNA from 1 species
GUGGAGAGCAGCGGAGGGCCAGGUGGGCGAGGGUUUUGUGGAGACAGAGGGACACGGAAGGACGCGGGAAAGUCCGGAAGAACUGCAGUGCCAGAUGUCAAACAGUUGGGCGGGUGCUGCAGGGGCGGGGGCGGGGUGCUGCUGGCCCCUCCUUACACCCACCCAAGGAGGCUUCAAGACGGGUUGUGAGCAGAGAUGGGGGGUCCUUUGAUCAGGAAGACAUCGCAAUCCCAACACCCCAUGUAUAGCACAGCUUCAAGUAGACAAAACCCCAGGAGGACACAGAAGGCCAGCUCCCCGGGAGCUGCAGCGUGUGCCCAGCGUCUGCGCCUCUCGGUGUCCUCCGGUUCCCUGGAGCCGCAGCCCCUACCACCUGCUGGAACCUGUCCCGGAAGGGCGGGCCCUGGAAACCUGCCUUUGUCCUAGGGAGGGAGCUCCCCUUCCCCUAACCUCCCUGCCUCGGCUCGGUUCACUCGCAGGUCACUGGCUGGGCACUGCCCAUCUCAAGAUCUGCACCAGCCACUCUCACCUUGUCUUUGCCCAAGGGCUGCUGGUUUGGAGGCCUCUCCGGAGAGCCAUCACCUUCAUGCUCUCCCUCCUUUCUCCACCACGUACCUCGAAAAACACUGCGUGCGUUUUAUUUAUGAAGUUGAUUGUGUCUCCUGCUAUAUCCCCAGCGACCAGAACACGCCCGGCCCAGAGUAGAUCAAUAACUAUUUGUUAGAUAGGAAAAAAAAAAAUCCAACUAGGGGUGAACACAGGGCACAAGGGCGGAUGAGGGAGGCUGGGUCUCACCAAGGGUCUCUGGGUCCGGCCCGCCUCCCGGCUCAGCGCGCCCCAGCCCCGGGCUAUCCGCUCUCCUACAGGUGGGGACCGGGGAGCGCGGGUCCGAGACCCUCUCCGCCUCGCUUCCUCGGCGCCCAUCCGCCCCCGGGGGUGGGCAGGGGCGGCCACGAGGCAGAGGCGGAGGCCGGGGUGGAGGGGGCCGAGCCUCCCUCCUGGCGGGCGGGGGGCGGGCGGGGGAGGAGCUGGGGGAGGGGAGCGAGGAGGAGCGGCGGGCGCGGGAAGGGGAGCGCGGAGCAGGAGCUGCAGGGCGCUGGGAAGGCGGAGGGAGGUGCGGGAUUGCGAGGGCGCGGGCCGGCAAGAGCCCCCCGGGGCGGCGGGCGGGCUGCGCCCCGAGCUCGGCGCGGGUGGCGGCGGAGGCGAGGCGACCGCAGGCUGGCAGACGCGGCGCAAGGAAGCCGGACCGGAGAGGGCGAGCCCGGUGUCCGCACCUGCGUGGCCGGGGAGCCGAGCUUUGGAACAUGUGCCCCUCUUGGUGAACUGACAGUGGUCUGUGUGUGUUGCCUGCUCCCAGCUCUUGCAUUCCUCAGUCUUGGUAACCAGAAUGUUCUGUGUAUUCAAGCUCACAACCAUCCAUGGGACAGGAAGCAACGUUGAGUACCUCGUGAUGCGUCAAGAUGCACCUGGGAAGACGGUGAGCCCUUGACACGACUGCUGCUCUCAAUCAGCGGCCACCGAAGCUCCCCGCAAGCAACCUGAAUCAUCUCAGAUCAGGAUGGGGGAAGUUUUAAAGUUCCCAUUAGACACAUUGAUGUCCCAAGCUUUGAAAAGAGCCCAGACGCCAAAGGCCAGAAUGCCAGAGCCUUGCCCACACUGGUGUGAUACUCUGGCCAGCGUCUAACAGCCACUGGGCUGUACCCUCUGCUGGGCCGAGUUCCACAGCAGUGAGAUGUCUUGGUAUCCCUCUGACUUGGGCAGGACCUUCCACCACCUGCUGGCUGUUGCCUGCGUGUUCCUCCCAUAGUCGAAUCCGGAGGUCUUUCUGCUGGGGUCUGGAUGGCUCUCAGCGGAGUGUUCCGGGACCACAGUCCUCCUCUGCGGGCAGGGCAGCUGUGAGAAGGAGCCACAUGUGUGGGAGUGUUCC